rnacentral:rRNA from 1 species
UACGUAGGGUGCAAGCGUUAAUCGGAAUUACUGGGCGUAAAGCGUGCGCAGGCGGCUAUGCAAGACAGAUGUGAAAUCCCCGGGCUCAACCUGGGAACUGCAUUUGUGACUGCAUGGCUAGAGUACGGUAGAGGGGGAUGGAAUUCCGCGUGUAGCAGUGAAAUGCGUAGAUAUGCGGAGGAACACCGAUGGCGAAGGCAAUCCCCUGGACCCGUACUGACGCUCAUGCACGAAAGCGUGGGGAGCAAACAGG